rnacentral:tRNA from 1 species
GCGCAGCUUUUGGAUGCUUUAGGAGCAUCAGCUUCCCAAGCUGAGGGUCGCGGGUUCGACCCCCGUUUCUCGCU